rnacentral:rRNA from 1 species
UACGGGAGGCAGCAGUGGGGAAUAUUGCACAAUGGGCGAAAGCCUGAUGCAGCUAUGCCGCGUGUAUGAAGAAGGCCUUAGGGUUGUAAAGUACUUUCAUCGGGGAGGAAAAAACAAAACUAAUAAUUUUAUUUCUUGACGUUACCCGAAAAAGAAGCACCGGCUAACUCCGUGCCAGCAGCCGCGGUAAUACGGAGGGUGCUAGCGUUAAUCAGAAUUACUGGGCGUAAAGAGCACGUAGGUGGUUUUUUUAAAGUCAGAUGUGAAAUCCCUGGGCUUUAACCUAGGAACUGCAUUUUGAAACUGAAAUACUAGAGUAUCGUAGAGGGAGGUAGAAUUCUAGGUGUAGCGGUGAAAUGCGUAGAUAUCUGGAGGAAUACCUGUGGCGAAAGCGGCCUCCUAAACGAAUACUGACACUGAGGUGCGAAAGCGUGGGGAGCAAACAGGGAUUAGAUACC